rnacentral:rRNA from 1 species
AUACGUAGGUGGCGAGCGUUGUCCGGAAUUACUGGGCGUAAAGGGUGCGCAGGCGGACAUUUAAGUGAGAUGUGAAAUACCCGGGCUUAACCCGGGCAGUGCAUUUCAAACUGGGUGUCUGGAGUGCAGGAGAGGAGAACGGAAUUCCUAGUGUAGCGGUGAAAUGCGUAGAGAUUAGGAAGAACACCAGUGGCGAAGGCGGUUCUCUGGACUGUAACUGACGCUGAGGCACGAAAGCGUGGGUAGCAAACAGGAUUAGAUACCCUGGUAGUCCACGCCGUAAACGAUGAGUACUAGGUGUAGGAGGUAUCGACCCCUUCUGUGCCGCAGUAAACACAAUAAGUACUCCGCCUGGGAAGUACGAUCGCAAGAUUAAA